UACGUAGGGGGCAAGCGUUGUCCGGAGUUACUGGGCGUAAAGCGCACGCAGGCGGUCUUUUAAGUUUGGAGUGACAGUUGGUGGCUUAACUGCCAAAGUGCUUCGAAAACUGACAGACUUGAGGGCUUCAGAGGGACACGGAAUUCCGGGUGGAGUGGUGAAAUGCGUAGAGAUCAGGAGGAACACCAAAGGCGAAGGCAGUGUCCUGGGGAGUACCUGACGCUCAGGUGCGAAAGCCAGGGGAGCGAACGGG
rnacentral:rRNA from 1 species